AUGAACGCUGGCGGCGUGCCUAAUACAUGCAAGUCGAGCGAACGGACGAGAAGCUUGCUUCUCUGAUGUUAGCGGCGGACGGGUGAGUAACACGUGGAUAACCUACCUAUAAGACUGGGAUAACUUCGGGAAACCGGAGCUAAUACCGGAUGAUAUUUUGAACCGCAUGGUUCAAAAGUGAAAGACGGUCUUGCUGUCACUUAUAGAUGGAUCCGCGCUGCAUUAGCUAGUUGGUAAUGUAACGGCUUACCAAGGCAACGAUGCAUAGCCGACCUGAGAGGGUGAUCGGCCACACUGGAACUGAGACACGGUCCAGACUCCUACGGGAGGCAGCAGUAGGGAAUCUUCCGCAAUGGGCGAAAGCCUGACGGAGCAACGCCGCGUGAGUGAUGAAGGUCUUCGGAUCGUAAAACUCUGUUAUUAGGGAAGAACAUAUGUGUAAGUAACUGUGCACAUCUUGACGGUACCUAAUCAGAAAGCCACGGCUAACUACGUG
rnacentral:rRNA from 1 species